GACGAACGCUGGCGGCGUGCCUAAUACAUGCAAGUCGAGCGCGGGAAGCUUGCGGAAUCCUUCGGGAGGAAGUGAGCGGACCGAGCGGCGGACGGGUGAGUAACACGUGGGCAACCUGCCCGUAAGACGGGGAUAACCCCGGGAAACCGGGGCUAAUACCGGAUAGGUGACCUUUCUGCAUGGAGGGGUCAUGAAAGGCGGCGGAAGCCGUCGCUUACGGAGGGGCCCGCGGCGCAUUAGCUAGUUGGUGAGGGAAGGGCUCACCAAGGCGACGAUGCGUAGCCGGCCUGAGAGGGUGAACGGCCACACUGGGACUGAGACACGGCCCAGACUCCUACGGGAGGCAGCAGUAGGGAAUCUUCCGCAAUGGACGGAAGUCUGACGGAGCAACGCCGCGUGAGUGAGGAAGGCCUUCGGGUCGUAAAGCUCUGUUGUUCGUGAAGAAGGGGUUGGCCAGGAAAUGGGCCGACAUUGACGGUAGCGAACCAGAAAGCCCCGGCUAACUACGUGCCAGCAGCCGCGGUAACACGUAGGGGGCAAGCGUUGUCCGGAAUGAUUGGGCGUAAAGGGCGCGCAGGCGGCCUCUUAAGUCUGAUGUGAAAGCCCAUGGCUCAACCGUGGAGGGACAUUGGAAACUGGGGGGCUUGAGUGCAGGAGAGGGGAGUGGAAUUCCACGUGUAGCGGUGAAAUGCGUAGAGAUGUGGAGGAACACCAGUGGCGAAGGCGGCUCUCUGGCCUGUGACUGACGCUGAGGCGCGAAAGCGUGGGGAGCGAACAGGAUUAGAUACCCUGGUAGUCCACGCCGUAAACGAUG
rnacentral:rRNA from 1 species